rnacentral:rRNA from 2 species
GUCGGCGUGGACGGUAUCCAACCAGAAAGCCACGGCUAACUACGUGCCAGCAGCCGCGGUAAUACGUAGGUGGCAAGCGUUAUCCGGAUUUAUUGGGCGUAAAGCGAGCGCAGGCGGUUUUUUAAGUCUGAUGUGAAAGCCCUCGGCUUAACCGAGGAAGCGCAUCGGAAACUGGGAAACUUGAGUGCAGAAGAGGACAGUGGAACUCCAUGUGUAGCGGUGAAAUGCGUAGAUAUAUGGAAGAACACCAGUGGCGAAGGCGGCUGUCUGGUCUGUAACUGACGCUGAGGCUCGAAAGCAUGGGUAGCGAACAGGAUUAGAUACCCUGGUAGUCCAUGCCGUAAACGAUGAAUGCUAGGUGUUGGAGGGUUUCCGCCCUUCAGUGCCGCAGCUAACGCAUUAAGCAUUCCGCCUGGGGAGUACGACCGCAAGGUUGAAACUCAAAGGAAUUGACGGGGGCCCGCACAAGCGGUGGAGCAUGUGGUUUAAUUCGAAGCAACGCGAAGAACCUUACCAGGUCUUGACAUCUUUUGAUCACCUGAGAGAUCAGGUUUCCCCUUCGGGGACAAAAUGACAGGUGGUGCAUGGUUGUCGUCAGCUCGUGUCGUGAGAUGUUGGGUUAAGUCCCGCAACGAGCGCAACCCUUAUGACUAGUUGCCAGCAUUUAGUUGGGCACUCUAGUAAGACUGCCGGUGACAAACCGGAGGAAGGUGGGGAUGACGUCAAAUCAUCAUGCCCCUUAUGACCUGGGCUACACACGUGCUACAAUGGAUGGUACAACGAGUUGCGAGACCGCGAGGUCAAGCUAAUCUCUUAAAGCCAUUCUCAGUUCGGACUGUAGGCUGCAACUCGCCUACACGAAGUCGGAAUCGCUAGUAAUCGCGGAUCAGCACGCCGCGGUGAAUACGUUCCCGGGCCUUGUACACACCGCCCGUCACACCAUGAGAGUUUGUAACACCCGAAGCCGGUGGCGUACCCUUUAGGGAGCGAGCCGUCUAAGGUACCAA